UCGACUAGCAUGCGAGUCAGGUGUCUUCGGACGCCGGUAUACGGCUCAGUAACGCGAUAGGUAACCUACCCUCAGGACUGAGAUAACCCCGGGAAACUGGGGCUAAUAUUAGAUAGAUAAAAGAUACUGGAAUGUUCUUUUAUCCAAAGCUUUUGCGCCUGAGGAUGGGCCUGCGUCCGAUUAGGUUGUGGGGGGGGUAAUGGCCCACCAAGCCUGCAAUCGGUACGGGCAGGGGGAGCUGAAGCCGGGAGUUGGGGACUGAGACAGGGCCCCAGGCCCUACGGGGCGCAGCAGGCGCGAAACCUCUGCAAUGCGGGAAACCGUGACAGGGGAAUCCCAAGUGCUCAUGCAUUGCAUGGCUGUUCUUUGGCUAGGUAACCGGAGG
rnacentral:rRNA from 1 species